rnacentral:rRNA from 1 species
UAACGCGUAUACAAUCUGCCUUGUACUGAGGGAUAGCCUUUGGAAACGAAGAUUAAUACCUCAUAGUAUUACAACAUCGCAUGGUGAUGUAAUUAAAGGUUACGGUACAAGAUGAGUAUGCGUCCUAUUAGCUAGAUGGUGUGGUAACGGCAUACCAUGGCGACGAUAGGUAGGGGUCCUGAGAGGGAGAUCCCCCACACUGGUACUGAGACACGGACCAGACUCCUACGGGAGGCAGCAGUGAGGAAUAUUGGACAAUGGAGGCAACUCUGAUCCAGCCAUGCCGCGUGCAGGAAGACUGCCCUAUGGGUUGUAAACUGCUUUUAUACAGGAAGAAACAGUUCUACGUGUAGAACCUUGACGGUACUGUAAGAAUAAGGAUCGGCUAACUCCGUGCCAGCAGCCGCGGUAAUACGGAGGAUCCAAGCGUUAUCCGGAAUCAUUGGGUUUAAAGGGUCCGUAGGUGGAUAAUUAAGUCAGAGGUGAAAUCCUGCAGCUUAACUGUAGAAUUGCCUUUGAUACUGGUUAUCUUGAGUCAUUAUGAAGUAGUUAGAAUAUGUAGUGUAGCGGUGAAAUGCAUAGAUAUUACAUAGAAUACCAAUUGCGAAGGCAGAUUACUAAUAAUGUACUGACACUGAUGGACGAAAGCGUGGGGAGCGAACAGGAUUAGAUACCCUGGUAGUCCACGCCGUAACGAUGGUCACUAGCUGUUCGGACUUCGGUUUGAGUGGCUAAGCGAAAGUGAUAAGUGACCCACCUGGGGAGUACGUUCGCAAGAAUGAAACUCAAAGGAAUUGACGGGGGCCCGC